GAGGGUAUAUCUCAGUGGUAGAGUGCGUGCUUAGCAUGCAUGAGGUCCUGGGUUCAAUCCCCAGUACUUCCA
rnacentral:tRNA from 1 species